UGCAGUCGAGGGGUACAGGGAUUAGUUUACUAGUCUGCUGACGACCGGCGCACGGGUGAGUAACGCGUAUACAAUUUACCUUUUACAGGAGGAUAGCCCAGAGAAAUUUGGAUUAAUACUCCAUGGUAUUAUCGGGUCGCAUGGUUUGAUAAUUAAAGUUUCGGUGGUAGAAGAUGAGUAUGCGUCCUAUUAGCUGGUUGGUAAGGUAACGGCUUACCAAGGCGACGAUAGGUAGGGGUCCUGAGAGGGAGAUCCCCCACACUGGUACUGAGACACGGACCAGACUCCUACGGGAGGCAGCAGUGAGGAAUAUUGGUCAAUGGAGGCAACUCUGAACCAGCCAUGCCGCGUGCAGGAAGACUGCCCUAUGGGUUGUAAACUGCUUUUAUACAGGAAGAAACUUAUCCACGUGUGGAUAACUGACGGUACUGUACGAAUAAGGACCGGCUAACUCCGUGCCAGCAGCCGCGGUAAUACG
rnacentral:rRNA from 1 species